CUGGCAGGCUGGGGUUCCUCUCACACACCCACCACCUCUGCAGACACUGGCGCUUCAUUUCUGGCUUCCUGACCCCUUGUCUUGGCUCAGCAAUGCAUUUCUGCUGUCCUGUGGAGCCGAGGCUCUGGGUAUCCUGUCCAUCCAUCUCUCGCCUCCCACCCACAGCCAAGGGGGUGUCUGUCUGAGGGUCUGAAGGUUACCUUGCAUCAGCCCAAGGAAGUUCCUUUCUAAGUUUGCUCAAGCUUCCCUUAGUCGUGAGUGGAUUUUGAACUUUACACAUUAUUUUUCUGUUUCCUAAGAUGACCAUGUGGUGUUAAUAUGGCGAACUGUGCCAAUUGACGUUUAAGAUCACACACAGCCUUGCUGCAGCCCUGAGCCCAGUCCCAUCCAGUCACCACCUGCCAGCGCCAGCAUCACAAAAUGCCACCAUUUUCGCCUUUGGUUUCCGAGGGCUUAGGACCGUCAAGAGGCUGGAGACUGUCUUCUUUCCUCUCCAAGUCACCCUGGCCAGGCACUGCCUCGGGAGGCAAGGCGAAAGUGCACUUUGCCACCACGGCCCCAGGGAAGCCUGAACGGUGCUUGCUUCUCGACAUUCCCUACACUGGCAGUCCUGGAGCCGGGGCUUCUCUUCCAUGGCCAAGACCUCAAGUUCAGGAUGCUCUCACCACCCAAAGACGACAGCCGAUACCCCAUCUAGGCCCCGCAGCACUAGUCUGCUGCCUGGCGUUCCAUGCAAGUGCAGUCACACAGGGUGGCCUUCUGCACCCUCUUCUGGGCACCGAGAGGCCCCUCUGCGACUUCACCCCAGCUCCAUGCGUGUCAGUGCUGCCUCCCUCCCUGUCAGACAACACUCCGCAUGGUUUCUCCAGCACCUGCCGGACGCCUGGGCCCUCCCCACCUCUUGGCCGUCAUGCAUAA
rnacentral:lncRNA from 1 species